UACGGAGGGGGCUAGCGUUGUUCGGAAUUACUGGGCGUAAAGCGCACGUAGGCGGCUUUGCAAGUUAGAGGUGAAAGCCCGGGGCUCAACUCCGGAAUUGCAUUUAAAACUGCAUCGCUAGAAUUGUGGAGAGGUAAGUGGAAUUCCGAGUGUAGAGGUGAAAUUCGUAGAUAUUCGGAAGAACACCAGUGGCGAAGGCGACUUACUGGACCAAUAUUGACGCUGAGGUGCGAAAGCGUGGGGAGCAAACAGG
rnacentral:rRNA from 1 species